GACGAACGCUGGCGGCGUGCCUAAUACAUGCAAGUUGAGCGCUGAAGGUUGGUACUUGUACCAACUGGAUGAGCAGCGAACGGGUGAGUAACGCGUGGGGAAUCUGCCUUUGAGCGGGGGACAACAUUUGGAAACGAAUGCUAAUACCGCAUAAAAACUUUAAACACAAGUUUUAAGUUUGAAAGAUGCAAUUGCAUCACUCAAAGAUGAUCCCGCGUUGUAUUAGCUAGUUGGUGAGGUAAUGGCUCACCAAGGCGAUGAUACAUAGCCGACCUGAGAGGGUGAUCGGCCACAUUGGGACUGAGACACGGCCCAAACUCCUACGGGAGGCAGCAGUAGGGAAUCUUCGGCAAUGGACGAAAGUCUGACCGAGCAACGCCGCGUGAGUGAAGAAGGUUUUCGGAUCGUAAAACUCUGUUGGUAGAGAAGAACGUUGGUGAGAGUGGAAAGCUCAUCAAGUGACGGUAACUACCCAGAAAGGGACGGCUAACUACGUG
rnacentral:rRNA from 1 species